AAGGUCCUUGAUUACAAGUGGUUAUAAGAAGUACAAUUUUAUCCAAAUAAAGUCAAAUAUAAAAGGUUAGCCAAAAGUUAAGUACAAAAUUUAGACUAAUUUCUUUCUUAUACUAAGAUGUAUCCAAUUCCUAACUCAAAUUUUAAAUCUAAACCUCAUCUUAUUAAAAUACCUAUAAUUCACUUAUUAUUAAUCCAAUCUAGGCAAAGUUUAGCUUGUUGAACUUAACUCAAGCUAUAAACUUCAAAUUAUUAAAAUCCAUAAAUAAAAUAUCGAGAAAAUAAGAGCCAAAUUAACGAGAAAAAAAAUUGAUUGCUUGUUGCAGUUGCUGCCUCAAAAUCCCAGUUUAUAAAUUAGCUUGGAUUUCUCCCAUAACAAUUCUUCUUCUCAUACAAAUGAGCUUGGAUCUCCAUUAUUAUAGCUCUUCUUUUUGCAUGCUAAAGCUUAUUGGAAAGCUAACAAUGAGCUCUAAUUUCUUCCAAAUUCUUAGAAUGAAAAGUAAAAAAAUCCAAUAAAUGGCAUAGAAAUCUCUAAAUGGUCUUAAAUCUCAUUGCCUAAAAACUCCGGCGACUUCCUUCUUUCACAAAUUUGCAUGGUUCUCUUUCUUUAUAGCUUCAUUUUUUGUAUGCUAUAGCUUGUUGAAAAGCUAACAAUGUGAUCUAACUUCUAUUAAAAUUUCAAAAUAAGAAGAAAAAAAUACAAGAAAUACCUAAUUAGUCUUGGAUUUUAUUGCUUAAAAAUUUUAGCAACUUUUUUUUACAAAUUCACAUGGUUCUCCCUCCUCAUAGCUCCAUUUCUUGUUUGCUAUAGCUUAUUAGAAAGUUAAAAAUAAAAUCUAAUUUAUUUCUAAAUUUCAGAACAAAAAGAUGAAAAUUUUGUAAGUGGCCUUCAAAACCUCGAACUAGGCUUAAAUCUCAUUCUAUCCUCCAAAAUUCCAGCAACUCCACCUUUUCACUCCUUUCAACUCCAACACCCUACUUCCCCUCUUUCUAAGAAAUUAAAAUCCUUGAUGCUAAAAAUUCCUAUUUCUAAUCUUCUCUCAAUAUCUAUCUAGAACCACUAUAGAACUAGGUAUUUAUUUUAAAAGAAAAUAUCUUCAAGUUCAAAUAAUCCAUUCAAGACAAUAAUUUCAUAUUCUAAACUUGAUUCAAAUUUUUAAAUAUAUUAGUAUUAUAUUCUUUUUACUCUUCUUAUAAAUAAAAUUAAUUAUCUUCUAAAU
rnacentral:lncRNA from 1 species